CCUGGCGCCAGGCUGGAGGAGGACGGCGGAAGGAAGAGGCAGGCGGAGGAGGGGCCGAGUAUUCCAGGUAGAUGGAACAGCACGGCCAAAGGCCCAGAGGGGCUGCUUUGCUCUCAUGGGGCUAAAAGGACUCCCUCCUGGAUGCCAGGGCCCCUGUCCGUGCUCAGGCAGGCCCGGUGAAGGGGCUGUGGCCCUGCCGGGCAUGGAGAGAGAGCUGCUGGGGCAGUUGGUGCCGUCCCCCGCAAUGCAGAUGGACAGACAGACAUGCAGAGUUCGCCUUGUUUGACCAGAGUCAGCCCUGCUGCUUUCUGGAAGGGGCCCCCAGUGACGGAGUCUUGCCCUCUCUGGCUAGAAGAGGCAGAAUCUCUUUCCUCUCUGGCAAACCGAGCUCCUGAGCCAGACUGGUGGAGUGUGACCCCAUCUCCACGUGCCUCUACAGAUCUCCUGAAGGUUGAAUUUGGGGGCUUCUGGCAGAACGCAACUCCGAAGAAUGACAGCAAGCCUUACUGCUUGAGAGGAAAUGAAAACAUAACCAGAAAAGUCUUCCACAUCCUUCAAGGACUUGGUCCUCAGCUCUGGCUCACCCCACAUGCCCAGGACAGGCCGGAGACCAGCCCUGUGGGUCCUGGCCAUCCAUCACCAAGAUGCCUUCAAGAUAGACCUGGCCCUGGUGCUUCCGGAAUCCCACUUCUUGGCUUCACCCCGUCUAGAAAGUCUCUCUCUGUCUACCUCUCUGUCCCGAUCCCCAGCCAGUGCCUGGCCCAGGCCUUGUGUUGACCUGUGGCCAGGGUCACGUUUGCCUUGUCCUCCUGGUGGGCGCCCUUCUGAGCCCUUGGAGUCCUUUUCUGCAAACACACCUUUGUUCAUUUAUUCCCUAAACAAAGAUUUAUUGAGGACCCGCUCUGUGCCGGGCCCAGGAGCAGGUGCUGGGACCUGGGUAAGCAAUAUAGACCAACCUCCCUGGCCCGUGGGCUCACAUUCAGGAGGGCACUGCACCCAGGCCACGAAGAGGGGUUUUCAUACAGGUGUUGGGACUCCUUCUCUUCUCGGAAGCCCUGGGAUUCUCAUGAACACGAUUCCCCUCUUCCCAAGGGACCAGGUUUACAGAACAAAGGGCCUGAAGACAGAUGCCUGCCCUGGUCGGGCCACAAUAGGUUGCGUUAACCACUUACCCUGGGCAGAGGAUGUCUGCAGCCCCUAUGGUGACACAAGAGAGAAAUCUGCCCCGUGGCUUUUGUCUGAGGAAAGGAGGCCCGUUCAAGGGCCAGUGCUGGAGCAAAGUUUUCUGUGAUGAUGGAAAUGUUCUGAGUCUGCACCAUCCAGCACAUAACCCCCGACCAAAGGUGGCUGUUGAGCGCUUGCAAUGUGGCUAUUGUGCCUAAGGAAU